rnacentral:rRNA from 1 species
AAACAUGUCUUUUUGAAUUAUAUUUAAAGUCUAACCUGCCCACUGAAUAAUUUUAAAUGGCCGCAGUAUUUUGACUGUGCAAAGGUAGCAUAAUCAUUAGUCUUUUAAUUGAAGGCUGGUAUGAACGGUUGGACGAAGUAUAAGCUGUUUCAUAUAAAUUUAUUAUAGAAUUUUAUAUUUUAGUUAAAAAGCUAAAAUUUUAUUAAAAGACGAGAAGACCCUAUAAAUCUUUAUAUUUUAUAUUAUUUAAAUUUUUUAGAUUUAUUUUAUUUUUAUAGUAUAAAAUAUUUUGUUGGGGUGAUAUUAAAAUUUAAUGAACUUUUAAUUAUUUAAAAUCAUUGAUUUAUGACUUAUUGAUCCAUUAAUAUUGAUUAUAAGAUUAAGUUACUUUAGGGAUAACAGCGUAAUUUUUUUUGAGAGUUCAUAUCGACAAAAAAGUUUGCGACCUCGAUGUUGGAUUAAGGUAUAAUUUUGGGUGUAGCUGUUCAAAUAUUAAGUCUGUUCGACUUUUAAAUCCUUACAUGAUC